rnacentral:rRNA from 1 species
AGAGUUUGAUCCUGGCUCAGAUUGAACGCUGGCGGCAGGCCUAACACAUGCAAGUCGAGCGGAUGAGUGGAGCUUGCUCCAUGAUUCAGCGGCGGACGGGUGAGUAAUGCCUAGGAAUCUGCCUGGUAGUGGGGGGCAACGUUUCGAAAGGAACGCUAAUACCGCAUACGUCCUACGGGAGAAAGCAGGGGACCUUCGGGCCUUGCGCUAUCAGAUGAGCCUAGGUCGGAUUAGCUAGUUGGUGAGGUAACGGCUCACCAAGGCGACGAUCCGUAACUGGUCUGAGAGGAUGAUCAGUCACACUGGAACUGAGACACGGUCCAGACUCCUACGGGAGGCAGCAGUGGGGAAUAUUGGACAAUGGGCGAAAGCCUGAUCCAGCCAUGCCGCGUGUGUGAAGAAGGUCUUCGGAUUGUAAAGCACUUUAAGUUGGGAGGAAGGGCAGUAAGUUAAUACCUUGCUGUUUUGACGUUACCGACAGAAUAAGCACCGGCUAACUUCGUGCCAGCAGCCGCGGUAAUACGAAGGGUGCAAGCGUCAAUCGGAAUUACUGGGCGUAAAGCGCGCGUAGGUGGUUCAGCAAGUUGGAUGUGAAAGCCCCGGGCUCAACCUGGGAACUGCAUCCAAAACUACUGAGCUAGAGUACGGUAGAGGGUGGUGGAAUUUCCUGUGUAGCGGUGAAAUGCGUAGAUAUAGGAAG